AGAUUAUAAAACGUGGCCUGAAGCAAGAAAAAAUAUUCCAUGUAGAUCAUCUACUCAUUCAAGAACAUCUAAAAUUUGGGGUGGAGCACUAGACCAUAUGGACAAGCCUUCGAUUGACGGUGAAACUGCUUGUGAACCACUUCUCCCCGAACCUGGUGAUUUUAGUGAAGACUGUGGGAUCUCCAAGAAAUGGACAGUGAGAACGGGCCAAUGUGCAGUGGACGGAAGGUGAGGAACAAUUUCGGCUUCCAGG